GGGCGGGGAGGGCCCCCCGGGUCCCCGGCGCACGAGGGGGGGGUCCUGCCUCCUGUCUAGUACUUUUGGUGACGGGGACGGUGUCUGGUUUGGAGAGCAGAAGCGUUCCGAGUUUCCGGAGGAGCAGGGUACCGUGUUGUGUCCAAGAUCGUGGUGAACAUAAGGACCGGUGCUUAAAAAGCAUAGAUGUGGCAUUCACGAAGACAAGGUGCACGUAAGUGUGGAGUCAAGGUGUGCAGUCUAUCCCUUUCCCAGUGGAAGAGGUGUGAACUGGGGCAAUCCCAAUUACAUGUAGGAAUAUGUGUCUGAGAAUUCUGUCUCAGUUCUGUUGGGGCUGGAGAGACGGCUUAGCAGUUAAGACUCUUGCCGGCAAAGCCAAAGGACCUUGGUUCAAUUCCU